GCCCGUGUGGCGGAAUGGUAGACGCUACAGACUUAAAAUCUGUUGUCCUUAAGGAUGUGUGGGUUCGAGUCCCUUCACGGGCACCA
rnacentral:tRNA from 1 species